UUGAACGCUGGCGGCAUGCUUUACACGUGCAAGUCGAACGGCAGCGCGGGCUUCGGCCUGGCGGCGAGUGGCGAACGGGUGAGUAAUGCAUCGGAACGUGCCCAGUAGUGGGGGAUAGCCCGGCGAAAGCCGGAUUAAUACCGCAUACGACCUGAGGGUGAAAGCGGGGGACCGAAAGGCCUCGCGCUAUUGGAGCGGCCGAUGUCGGAUUAGCUAGUUGGUGGGGUAAAGGCUUACCAAGGCGACGAUCCGUAGCUGGUCUGAGAGGACGACCAGCCACACUGGGACUGAGACACGGCCCAGACUCCUACGGGAGGCAGCAGUGGGGAAUUUUGGACAAUGGGGGCAACCCUGAUCCAGCCAUGCCGCGUGCGGGAAGAAGGCCUUCGGGUUGUAAACCGCUUUUGUUCGGGAAGAAAUCCUCUGGGCUAAUACCCCGGGGGGAUGACGGUACCGGAAGAAUAAGCACCGGCUAACUACGUG
rnacentral:rRNA from 1 species